rnacentral:lncRNA from 12 species
UGCCCUGUGCCCCUUUCUCAGAUAAGGAAUCUGCACUUGAACGAGCCCCCCAGGUGGCUCUGAGAAGCCCAGAAAUGUCUAUGACUGGGAGAAAAUCUGGCCAGUGAAAAAUUUGAAUCAGACAAAAGUGGGCCACUUAAUUCUGCAUGAAUACACUUGAGAGCGAAUAUGUUCUGAUUCUCCAAGCAAGAUGGCUCUUCACAAUACUUGGCUUUGUUAAAACCAUGUCUGCUGACACUUGGACUCUCUCCAGUUACCUGGCAUCUGAAAUUAUACCUUUAGUGAUUCACUCCUUUGAACUAAACACAGAUGUCUUCAGGUAUCCUCUUUUGAAGAACAAGCACCCUUGGGAAGAUUUAGCACAAAAUAACAAGUUUAGCUGACUAAAAAGACCAGGUGUCUAAUCGACUUGGCUGGUUGUACUGACAGAUAUUUGAUAUGACAUCAAUUGACUAAACUGACGGGAAUUUGAAUGAGUACAGUCAAAAUGUUUGAAUCCAUCAUCGGGGAGUGUCAACCAAUUUUUGCUCUGGAGAAAGCACUCAAGUGUCUGCAUUUUACCAUGAGGAAGUACAAGCUGUUUGGCCUCAAGAAAUAGAAAGUGAUCCAAGAGAAGACUCCUUUGAAAGAACCUGAGUGAUUUUUUGUGUGUGUGCCUUCUGAUCUUUUGCAAGAACCUAAGUGUGUUUGGGAAAGACCAGCUUAUGUGCCCAUUACAGUUACUUGGUCUCCAGGGAAGGCAGAUGCAGCAGAAGUGAGUCUGGGCAGAUAUGUUUUUCAUAUUAUGCUAGAGACCUUACACUUAUCCUGUUCCUGAGGUUUCCAGGGCCAGACCAUGCAAAAGCAGAGCAGUAGGUAUAAAGGGUUUUCAGGUUUCCAUAAUCCAUGUUCCUGCCACCCGACCCUGCCUCAGAUUCUUUCUUCCACCUUUGUCCUCCCUCAUCAAGGUGUUCAACUCUCCUACUGCCCCUCUCUGGGGAAAAUAGUCUCUACUCCCCUUAAGGAAUAGGUGACAAAUCCCACUACUCACUAAGCCUCCCCAAGAGAGACGACGUUGGCCAGGGACUGACAUUUUAGUUGAACACUUACUAUGUCCCAGGAACUGUGCUGAGUACUUUACACAUGUUCCUAACAACUACUAACCAUUCCAUGGCUCAUUUAUGGUCUUUUGACAGUUCAUGAAAUAACUCUCUUGGCUGAAGUUGAGAGCUGAGGUUCUGCAAAAUUUCCAGAUAUGUUUGACUUGCUCUAGGCAGUGAACUGGAUCCCAGAGAUGUGGGGUCUUGGGUACCAUGCGCAGCCACACAUAGCCACACACACCCUGGCACACCCUCAGCCAGCAUCAGUUACUGCAGUGGCCGACGCAGAGGCUCUGAUGGUUCA